GGUACAAAGUUUGCUGAAGACAUGGAUGGAAUCGGAGAAUACCUAUUAUCGAGCUCCAGAUUAAGCUUUUUGGAAAGAUUAAUGUUUGAGAAAACGUGCACAGGCGCGUGUGAUGGUGACAAGACCCAAUAUUAUUUUCGAAACAUUUUUUAAAAUUUAGAUUUAAUGACAAGACGCGAGGAAUUAGAACAACUGAGAGCUUACAACUUCGACGUGGCAUUCAGUGAACAAAUUGAUUUGUGUGGAGUUGGAAUUGUCAGAUAUCUUGGAAUUAAAAAUCAUUUAUGGAUUUCAACUACACCAAUUAUGGAUGCAGUUAGUUAUAAUUUGGGAAUUCCAGCACCAAGUUCGUAUGUUCCAACAAUCGAAGAAAAUGACAAUGGUGAUAAGAUGGAUUUUUGGCAGAGAACUUUCAACUUGUAUAUGAAAAUUGGUUCAAUCCUUAUUCAUAGAUACGGAACUGAUGGAACUACAGAGGUAGUUUAUUUUAAUUUAACCUAAAACUAAUCUUUUUCACUAAUCACAGGUCUUCCGUAAGUACAUCCCAGACUUCCCAAAUGUCAGAGAAAUCGCUGCAAACUCUUCACUUUGCUUUGUAAAUUCCGAUGAAGUACUUGAUUUACCAAGACCAACUAUCACAAAAGCAAUUUAUGUCGGUGGAUUGGGAAUUCCAAAAGUUAGCAAACCACUUGAUAAGGUUACACAAUAUUUGAUUUUAAAAUUAUCUGAAUAUAGUUUUUUAGAAGUUCACAAACAUAAUGUCAAAAGGAAAAGAAGGUGUCGUAAUCAUUUCACUUGGUUCAAUCAUACCAUUUGGAGAUCUACCAGCAGCGGCAAAGGAAGGGGUAUUGCGUGCAAUCCAGGAAAUAUCAGAUUAUCAUUUCCUUAUUAAAAUUGCCAAAGGUAAAUAAUUGACGGUUCCAGAGUACAUCGAAUAGUGCAGAAGCUUCAGAAGAAUUUAAAAAUAAAUCCCCCAUAGUAAUUUGUCAAGAUACUAAUUUUUUGCAGGCGACAAUAAUACCAAGAAAUUGGUCGAAGGAAUUAAAAACGUGGAUGUAGCUGAAUGGUUACCACAAGUAGAUAUUCUUUCUCAUCCAAGAUUGAAGCUUUUUGUAAUGCAUGGAGGAAUUAAUGGAUUAGUUGAAACAGCUAUCCAGGCAGUUCCAACUGUAAUUGUUCCUGUUUUUGCUGAUCAAUUUAGAAAUGGACGAAUGGUUGAAAAGAGAGGAAUUGGCAAAGUUCUUCUGAAAUUGGAUAUUGGAUAUGAAAGCUUCAAAAACACAGUUCUAACAGUUUUAAACACUCCAAGUUACAAAAAAAAUGCGAUAAGAAUUGGGAAAAUGAUGAGAGACAAGCCAUUCAGUCCAGAAGAACGCCUUACAAAAUGGACACAAUUUGCAAUUGAUCAUGGCGUUUUGGAAGAGUUACACGUGGAAGGAUCAAGAUUAAAUACAAUUAUUUAUUAUAAUCUUGAUGUUAUUGCUUUUGUCCUAUUCGUGUUCGUUGCUGUUCUUCACGUUUUCAUUUAUGCUUUCAAGUUUCUGUGCUGUAAGAAGAGAUCUCAGUCGAAUAUUAAAAAAUCUAAGAAAAAUAAUUAGCUGAUAUUUAUAGUCUCUUUUAAUAAAAAUAUUAAAAAUAAAUGUUAUUUUCCAGUAGGUGUUCAGGUGAAUUAAGCAUACAAGACUUAACGAAAAUAGAAAGUAGACUUUAAUCUUUUCUACAAUGUUAUGGCCUCAUUCUAAAAAUUUUAAAAGCGUCAAUGUGGUACCGGCCGGUAUUUUUUCGGAUUCCAGACAAUCUGAAGUCUGGCUUUUGAAUUUCUAUUUGUUUCAAACUGUUUGUGGCCCAAAACAACGGGUUAAACGAAUCGUGCAAGAAACGGAAAUUCCAGACAGCUUAAAAACAUCUUCCACUGCUAGAUUUUUCAACCAAUGCCUUAAAAUUGAAGAAACCACUUUCUACCAUCAAUUAGUGUUCCAAUUAUUAUCAUCUUUUUUCCUGUUGAAAAUAAAACAUUCUGCGUUUACAAAGCACGACAUUUUUCUGCCAAAAACCGUAGUUGACAACGAGUAGCACACCGCCAGAAUGAAAAAGUUAUAUAAAUUGAUAAACUUCAGGUUGUAUACUUUUCAAAUGUUCUGUCUUAUUAUAUUGCGGUUCAGUUCUAAUCAGUUUUAAAGUAUUUUGGAACCCAUUUUAAAUUUUUAUUCUAAAAAAUUAUUGAUUUAGAAAAAGUUGCAGGUGACUGUUAUGACCUUAUUAGUUAUUCUUCUCCUUCUUCUUGUUCUUUUUCUUCUAUUCUUGUGUACAGUCCAUCCAUUAGUCGAAGUCAUUUAAUUUCAAAUGGAAGAAUUGCUGAUGCACUCGUUGACGCAGGUCACGAUGUUGUUAUGUUCAUUACUGAAUAUGAACCAUUAACUGAAUUCACUGGAACUAAGAAGGCUAAAGUUAUCACUAUGAAAGGAUUUA
rnacentral:sRNA from 1 species